rnacentral:sRNA from 1 species
AGCAGAAAUAAACAUCAAGUUGGUCACAACCAGUUACAGAUUUCUUUGUCUCUUCUCCAUUCCCACUGCUUCACUUGAUUAGCCUUAA